rnacentral:rRNA from 1 species
GAUGAACGCUGGCGGCGUGCCUAAUACAUGCAAGUCGAGCGAACGGACGAGAAGCUUGCUUCUCUGAUGUUAGCGGCGGACGGGUGAGUAACACGUGGAUAACCUACCUAUAAGACUGGGAUAACUUCGGGAAACCGGAGCUAAUACCGGAUAAUAUUUUGAACCGCAUGGUUCAAAAGUGAAAGACGGUCUUGCUGUCACUUAUAGAUGGAUCCGCGCUGCAUUAGCUAGUUGGUAAGGUAACGGCUUACCAAGGCAACGAUGCAUAGCCGACCUGAGAGGGUGAUCGGCCACACUGGAACUGAGACACGGUCCAGACUCCUACGGGAGGCAGCAGUAGGGAAUCUUCCGCAAUGGGCGAAAGCCUGACGGAGCAACGCCGCGUGAGUGAUGAAGGUCUUCGGAUCGUAAAACUCUGUUAUUAGGGAAGAACAUAUGUGUAAGUAACUGUGCACAUCUUGACGGUACCUAAUCAGAAAGCCACGGCUAACUACGUGCCAGCAGCCGCGGUAAUACGUAGGUGGCAAGCGUUAUCCGGAAUUAUUGGGCGUAAAGCGCGCGUAGGCGGUUUUUUAAGUCUGAUGUGAAAGCCCACGGCUCAACCGUGGAGGGUCAUUGGAAACUGGAAAACUUGAGUGCAGAAGAGGAAAGUGGAAUUCCAUGUGUAGCGGUGAAAUGCGCAGAGAUAUGGAGGAACACCAGUGGCGAAGGCGACUUUCUGGUCUGUAACUGACGCUGAUGUGCGAAAGCGUGGGGAUCAAACAGGAUUAGAUACCCUGGUAGUCCACGCCGUAAACGAUGAGUGCUAAGUGUUAGGGGGUUUCCGCCCCUUAGUGCUGCAGCUAACGCAUUAAGCACUCCGCCUGGGGAGUACGACCGCAAGGUUGAAACUCAAAGGAAUUGACGGGGACCCGCACAAGCGGUGGAGCAUGUGGUUUAAUUCGAAGCAACGCGAAGAACCUUACCAAAUCUUGACAUCCUUUGACAACUCUAGAGAUAGAGCCUUCCCCUUCGGGGGACAAAGUGACAGGUGGUGCAUGGUUGUCGUCAGCUCGUGUCGUGAGAUGUUGGGUUAAGUCCCGCAACGAGCGCAACCCUUAAGCUUAGUUGCCAUCAUUAAGUUGGGCACUCUAAGUUGACUGCCGGUGACAAACCGGAGGAAGGUGGGGAUGACGUCAAAUCAUCAUGCCCCUUAUGAUUUGGGCUACACACGUGCUACAAUGGACAAUACAAAGGGCAGCGAAACCGCGAGGUCAAGCAAAUCCCAUAAAGUUGUUCUCAGUUCGGAUUGUAGUCUGCAACUCGACUACAUGAAGCUGGAAUCGCUAGUAAUCGUAGAUCAGCAUGCUACGGUGAAUACGUUCCCGGGUCUUGUACACACCGCCCGUCACACCACGAGAGUUUGUAACACCCGAAGCCGGUGGAGUAACCUUUUAGGAGCUAGCCGUCGAAGGUGGGACAAAUGAUUGGGGUGAAGUCGUAACAAGGUAGCCGUAUCGGAAGGUGCGGCU